rnacentral:sRNA from 1 species
UCCAGAAGGGCCGACCCUUUCCCUGACUUCCCCCUUCCUCUUCUCGACCCGGAAGUCCCGCCUACUGACGUAGUGAUUGGUCCCUUGUAAUCUUUACUCAUUGGGGGAAAGUUCUGCCAACUCUGCCAACUCAAAGCAAGCUCGGCUUGCUUCCCCUUAUCUUACGCAACUAAAAUGACAGGGAGACGUGAACAAAUAUCUAUCCACUGACAUUAGACCAAAGACACGAUUCCAUCCAAAUCUAGCUUGGAUAAAACCCACUCGAGCCAGCCAGCGUUUUGCCAGAUCCCAUUUGCCAGUGUUUAACGCCCAAGCUUCACGUGAGCCUUCAUGAGGACUACCAGUUUACCGUUGAGUCUCCCUAAGAGACCUGUUUCAGGUUCUGGUUCUGAGGUGUGGCUGGUCACCUCAGUUUGAACAGAGUCUGGUGUUCCCAUGGAGCACCUGCUGAUCCACAGAUAGAAUGGAGCCUUCAGGAGCUUGGCCUGCCGCCGCAGCUCCAGCGGCACCAUGGCAGGGGAAUGGCAGUCUCGCCUCACCAUGAGAGCAUGUCUUAGGAGAACUCCACAUCAGCUGAUAUCGAUCUGCCAAUCAGCCCGAGUCCAUGAAGCUCCAAGCAACUGCCAGGACACUCUCAGAAGUCUUUGGUGCGUUUCUGACAUGAGGUCAUGACAAAUGAUGACCAGUAAGGAAUGGCAAGGAGUACCAAUACCACCCAGCACUGUCAUCCACCGUCUGUCGGGUCCUUCUUAACGUCAUGCGUCCUUUCACGUGUUUGCUUUAGCAAAACGCCCUUUUGCUGGCGUCUGCUUCAGGAAAACAUCCUUCAGCACAACUGACUUUCCAAAGAAACCAGAAGCUUCCACGUCAGUGGGUGGUGGUGACUUUGGCGCUCGGUGUUCCUGCUUGUUGGUUUUGUGACC